CUCCUGAGGACAGCAAGCCAGGAAGAAAGUUCUCACCUCAAACUGAACCUUGAUAUUGGACUCUCCAGCUUCCAGAACUGAGAUAGAGUGGACUUUAGCACCUUAGUUCCCAUAGAUUUAGGAAGCACAACCUUAAACCUGAAAUGAUUAAGCCCUAAGUGAAGAAUUGUCAUCAGAGCAGAGAAUGCUGAAAAAGCAUGAGUCCAAAGAAGAGCAGUGAGCCCUGAAGACUAAUGCCUUCUUCAACAUGGGCAGAGACAUACACUUCAGUUGGGAAAAAGUACAAACAUUUGUAGAACAUCCUGGAAGACAUUUUAUUGUAAAGACUUUGAGGGGAGGACCAUAUAACUUUACAUAAUGUAAACUGGAAAGGCAGCAUCUUUGGACCAUAACCUCAUACAUAUGGUAUCCUCCCAAGCUAAAGAAACACAUAAAGAAGUUUAAAUAGCAUUCAGCCUCAAAUGAAACUGGUUGGAAGAAAUUGCCUU